rnacentral:rRNA from 1 species
AUUGAACGAUGGCGGCAGGCCUAACACAUGCAAGUCGAACGGUAGCACAGAGAGCUUGCUCUCGGGUGACGAGUGGCGGACGGGUGAGUAAUGUCUGGGAAACUGCCCGAUGGAGGGGGAUAACUACUGGAAACGGUAGCUAAUACCGCAUAAUGUCGCAAGACCAAAGAGGGGGACCUUCGGGCCUCUUGCCAUCGGAUGUGCCCAGAUGGGAUUAGCUAGUUGGUGAGGUAAUGGCUCACCAAGGCGACGAUCCCUAGCUGGUCUGAGAGGAUGACCAGCCACACUGGAACUGAGACACGGUCCAGACUCCUACGGGAGGCAGCAGUGGGGAAUAUUGCACAAUGGGCGCAAGCCUGAUGCAGCCAUGCCGCGUGUGUGAAGAAGGCCUUCGGGUUGUAAAGCACUUUCAGCGGGGAGGAAGGCAAUACGGUUAAUAACCGUGUUGAUUGACGUUACCCGCAGAAGAAGCACCGGCUAACUCCGUG